rnacentral:rRNA from 1 species
GAUGAACGCUGACGGCGUGCCUAAUACAUGCAAGUCGAGCGAACAGACGAGGAGCUUGCUCCUCUGACGUUAGCGGCGGACGGGUGAGUAACACGUGGAUAACCUACCUAUAAGACUGGGAUAACUUCGGGAAACCGGAGCUAAUACCGGAUAAUAUAUUGAACCGCAUGGUUCAAUAGUGAAAGACGGUUUUGCUGUCACUUAUAGAUGGAUCCGCGCCGCAUUAGCUAGUUGGUAAGGUAACGGCUUACCAAGGCAACGAUGCGUAGCCGACCUGAGAGGGUGAUCGGCCACACUGGAACUGAGACGCGGUCCAGACUCCUACGGGAGGCAGCAGUAGGGAAUCUUCCGCAAUGGGCGAAAGCCUGACGGAGCAACGCCGCGUGAGUGAUGAAGGUCUUCGGAUCGUAAAACUCUGUUAUUAGGGAAGAACAAAUGUGUAAGUAACUAUGCACGUCUUGACGGUACCUAAUCAGAAAGCCACGGCUAACUACGUG